rnacentral:rRNA from 1 species
GUUUGAUCCUGGCUCAGGAUGAACGCUGGCGGCGUGCCUAAUACAUGCAAGUCGAACGCUUUGUGGUUCAACUGAUUUGAAGAGCUUGCUCAGAUAUGACGAUGGACAUUGCAAAGAGUGGCGAACGGGUGAGUAACACGUGGGAAACCUACCUCUUAGCAGGGGAUAACAUUUGGAAACAGAUGCUAAUACCGUAUAACAAUGACAACCGCAUGGUUGUUAUUUAAAAGAUGGUUCUGCUAUCACUAAGAGAUGGUCCCGCGGUGCAUUAGCUAGUUGGUAAGGUAAUGGCUUACCAAGGCGAUGAUGCAUAGCCGAGUUGAGAGACUGAUCGGCCACAAUGGGACUGAGACACGGCCCAUACUCCUACGGGAGGCAGCAGUAGGGAAUCUUCCACAAUGGGCGAAAGCCUGAUGGAGCAACGCCGCGUGUGUGAUGAAGGGUUUCGGCUCGUAAAACACUGUUGUAAGAGAAGAAUGACAUUGAGAGUAACUGUUCAAUGUGUGACGGUAUCUUACCAGAAAGGAACGGCUAAAUACGUGCCAGCAGCCGCGGUAAUACGUAUGUUCCAAGCGUUAUCCGGAUUUAUUGGGCGUAAAGCGAGCGCAGACGGUUAUUUAAGUCUGAAGUGAAAGCCCUCAGCUCAACUGAGGAAUUGCUUUGGAAACUGGAUGACUUGAGUGCAGUAGAGGAAAGUGGAACUCCAUGUGUAGCGGUGAAAUGCGUAGAUAUAUGGAAGAACACCAGUGGCGAAGGCGGCUUUCUGGACUGUAACUGACGUUGAGGCUCGAAAGUGUGGGUAGCAAACAGGAUUAGAUACCCUGGUAGUCCACACCGUAAACGAUGAGUGCUAGGUGUUUGAGGGUUUCCGCCCUUAAGUGCCGCAGCUAACGCAUUAAGCACUCCGCCUGGGGAGUACGACCGCAAGGUUGAAACUCAAAGGAAUUGACGGGGACCCGCACAAGCGGUGGAGCAUGUGGUUUAAUUCGAAGCAACGCGAAGAACCUUACCAGGUCUUGACAUCCCUUGACAACUCCAGAGAUGGAGCGUUCCCUUCGGGGACAAGGUGACAGAUGGUGCAUGGUUGUCGUCAGCUCGUGUCGUGAGAUGUUGGGUUAAGUCCCGCAACGAGCGCAACCCUUAUUACUAGUUGCCAGCAUUCAGUUGGGCACUCUAGUGAGACUGCCGGUGACAAACCGGAGGAAGGUGGGGAUGACGUCAAAUCAUCAUGCCCCUUAUGACCUGGGCUACACACGUGCUACAAUGGCGUAUACAACGAGUUGCCAACCCGCGAGGGUGAGCUAAUCUCUUAAAGUACGUCUCAGUUCGGAUUGUAGGCUGCAACUCGCCUACAUGAAGUCGGAAUCGCUAGUAAUCGCGGAUCAGCACGCCGCGGUGAAUACGUUCCCGGGUCUUGUACACACCGCCCGUCACACCAUGAGAGUUUGUAACACCCAAAGCCGGUGGGGUAACCUUCGGGAGCCAGCCGUCUAAGGUGGGACAGAUGAUUAGGGUG